rnacentral:rRNA from 1 species
GAGUUUGAUCAUGGCUCAGAUUGAACGCUGGCGGCAAGCCUCAUACAUGCAAGUCGAGCGAGAACGUUACUUCGGUAGCUAGUAAAGCGGCGGACGGGUGAGUAACGCGUAGGAAUCUACCUUUCAGCGGGGGAUAGCUCGGGGAAACCCGAAUUAAUACCGCAUACACCCUAAGGGGGAAAGAGGGCCUAUCCUUGGAAGCUCUCGCUGUUAGAUGAGCCUGCGUGAGAUUAGUUUGUUGGUGGGGUAAUGGCCUACCAAGACUACGAUCUCUAGCUGGUCUGAGAGGACGAUCAGCCACACUGGGACUGAGACACGGCCCAGACUCCUACGGGAGGCAGCAGUAGGGAAUAUUGGACAAUGGGGGCAACCCUGAUCCAGCUAUGCCGCGUGUGUGAAGAAGGCUCUAGGGUUGUAAAGCACUUUAGGUAAGGACGAAAAGAAUAUAGUUAAUACCUAUAUUCCGUGACUUAACUUACAGAAUGAGGACCGGCUAACUCCGUGCCAGCAGCCGCGGUAAUACGGAGGGUCCAAGCGUUAAUCGGAAUUACUGGGCGUAAAGCGCGCGUAGGCGGUUUGUCAAGUUGGAUGUGAAAUCCCUGGGCUCAACCUAGGAACUGCAUUCAAAACUUAUAGACUAGAGUACGAUAGAGGAGAGUAGAAUUCCUGGUGUAGCGGUGAAAUGCGUAGAUAUCAGGAGGAAUACCAAUGGCGAAGGCAACUCUCUGGAUCGACACUGACGCUGAGGUGCGAAAGCGUGGGUAGCAAACAGGAUUAGAUACCCUGGUAGUCCACGCCG